UUCCGGUUGAUCCUGCCAGAGGCUACUGCUAUCGGGGUUCGAUUAAGCCAUGCGAGUUAAAUGUUCUUCGUGAACAUAGCGAACUGCUCAGUAACACGUGGAUAACCUACCCUUAGGACCGGAAUAACCCCGGGAAACUGGGGAUAAUACCGGAUAAGCCAUAGACGCUGGAAUGCCCUAUGGUUCAAAGCUCCGGCGCCUAAGGAUGGAUCUGCGGUCUAUCAGGUUGUAGUGGGUGUAACGUACCUACUAGCCGACGACGGAUACGGGUUGUGAGAGCAAGAGCCCGGAGAUGGAUUCUGAGACACGAAUCCAGGCCCUACGGGGUGCAGCAGGCGCGAACACUUUACAAUGCGGGAAACCGCGAUAAGGGAACCCCGAGUGCCAGCAUCAAAUGUUGGCUGUCCAGAUGAUUAAAAAUCAUUUGUUAGCAAGGGCCGGGCAAGACCGGUGCCAGCCGCCGCGGUAACACCGGCGGCCCGAGUGGUAGCCGUUUUUAUUGGGUCUAAAGGGUCCGUAGCCGGCCUGAUAAGUCCUUUGGGAAAUCUGGCAGCUUAACUGUCAGGCUUCUAAGGGAUACUGUCAGGCUUGGGACCGGAAGAGGUAAGGGGUACUCCAGGGGUAGGAGUGAAAUCUUGUAAUCCCUGGGGGACCAUCUGUGGCGAAGGCGCCUUACCAGAACGGGUCCGACGGUGAGGGACGAAAGCUAGGGGAGCAAACCGGAUUAGAUACCCGGGUAGUCCUAGCUGUAAACGAUGCUCGCUAGGUGUCAGACACGGUGCGACCGUGUUUGGUGCCGCAGGGAAGCCGUUAAGCGAGCCACCUGGGAAGUACGG
rnacentral:rRNA from 1 species